AGAGUUUGAUCAUGGCUCAGAAUCAACGCUGGCGGCGUGCCUAACACAUGCAAGUCGAGCGAGAAAGGGUAGCAAUACCUGAGUAAAGCGGCGCACGGGUGAGUAACACGUGGGUAAUCUGCCCUAGAGUGGGGAAUAACACCGGGAAACCGGUGCUAAUACCGCAUACGAUCGCGAUGUCUUCGGAUGUUGCGAUGAAAGGAGCAAUUCGCUCUUGGAGGAGCCCGCGGCUGAUUAGCUAGUUGGUGAGGUAAUGGCUCACCAAGGCUACGAUCAGUAGCCGGUCUGAGAGGACGGUCGGCCACACUGGAACUGAGACACGGUCCAGACUCCUACGGGAGGCAGCAGUGGGGAAUUUUUCGCAAUGGGGGCAACCCUGACGAAGCAACGCCGCGUGGGUGAUGAAGUAUCUCGGUACGUAAAACCCUUUCGACGGGGAAGAAACCGCAAGGUUGACGGUACCCGUAGAAGAAGCCCCGGCUAACUCCGUGCCAGCAGCCGCGGUAAUACGGGGGGGGCAAGCGUUGUUCGGAAUUACUGGGCGUAAAGGGCGCGUAGGCGGUUCGCUAAGUUGAAUGUGAAAACUCUGGGCUUAACCCAGAGCCUGCAUUCAAUACUGGCGGGCUAGAGUUCUGGAGGGGAUAGCGGAAUUCCUGGUGUAGCGGUGAAAUGCGUAGAUAUCAGGAGGAACACCGGUGGCGAAGGCGGCUAUCUGGACAGAGUCUGACGCUGAGGCGCGAAAGCUAGGGGAGCAAACAGGAUUAGAUACCCCAGUAGUCC
rnacentral:rRNA from 1 species